AAAAAACCAAAAAACCAAAAAACCUCCUCUGAGGCGAUGCGACAAGUCCUGUGAGUUACUUGUAAGUGGCAGAGCCUUUGGGCAGGAGACUUAAGGAGUGCUGAUCAUGAAAAGAACAAAUCCCAACAGGCCAAGUUUUCCAGGGAGAAGUUAGUAUCGAAUACGAAAGCGUCAAGGAUUGUGAGAUGCUGUAAUCUGGCUGCCCCUGCCUCCCUUUUGGUCUUUUCCAGCUACCAACAAACCUGUAGGCCUCAGAUGGUCCUAAUGCACUGAUGCGGUGGAGUAAGAACGAAGCAGAUAAGACAAGUCCAAACAAGUCCAGAUGGCGGCACAUGCGGGAGGACAUAUGUCCUUAAAGUUGGACUAAGACUUGGAGAUCAACUCAAGAGCAUCGUUCUAGUGACCAUUGUUAGGACUCCAAUGUCCUCCCCACAGCAGGUGGGACCUACCUGAGACAGACAGA
rnacentral:lncRNA from 1 species